rnacentral:rRNA from 1 species
UAGGGAAUCUUCGGCAAUGGACGAAAGUCUGACCGAGCAACGCCGCGUGAGUGAAGAAGGUUUUCGGAUCGUAAAACUCUGUUGGUAGAGAAGAACGUUGGUGAGAGUGGAAAGCUCAUCAAGUGACGGUAACUACCCAGAAAGGGACGGCUAACUAUGUACCAG